rnacentral:rRNA from 1 species
GAACGCUUCAGCUUGCUGGAGCUAGUAAAGUGGCGCACGGGUGAGUAACGCGUGGGUAAUCUACCUCCGAAUUGGGGAUAACACUGCGAAAGCGGUGCUAAUACCGAAUGACAUCUCAGGGACCUCGGUCUCUAAGAUCAAAGGUGGCCUCUACAUGUAAGCUACUGUUUGGAGAUGAGCCCGCGUACCAUUAGCUAGUUGGUAGGGUAAUGGCCUACCAAGGCUUCGAUGGUUAGCUGGUCUGAGAGGAUGAUCAGCCACACUGGAACUGACACACGGUCCAGACUCCUACGGGAGGCAGCAGUGAGGAAUUUUGCGCAAUGGGGGAAACCCUGACGCAGCAACGCCGCGUGAGUGAUGAAGGCUUUCGGGUCGUAAAGCUCUGUCAAGUGGGAAGAAUAUGCCCUGUGAUAAUACCAUGGGGCACUGACGGUACCACUGAAGGAAGCACCGGCUAACUCCGUGCCAGCAGCCGCGGUAAUACGGGGGGUGCAAGCGUUAUUCGGAAUCAUUGGGCGUAAAGGGCGCGUAGGCGG